AUGUUUUUUUUAAUCCUCCGUGUCCUCCUCGGCUACUAGCAACUGCUUGGAGGAGGGGUGGGGGCGCGUGCGCGAUCACGGAAGGCUUGUAUCAUGUGGACCACCCAGUGUUGUUAUCAUUACUUACAAUUCCUCAUGGGGAAGACAGAAACUACGCACUAUAGCUUUAAUAGCACACAUACAUGGUCAAAUAUACAAGCUGUCCCAAACAUUUAGGGCUUUGGUUUAUUUUUUUUCCACAUCUUGCACCAAUCUGCAGGACUUCCGCUUAAGUGAACUGAGUCUGUGCACACAUCCUGCAUCAGUUUAAAGAUGUAUUUUAGCAGACUGGACUGUACUGUGUCACAUAGUGGUGUGAAGGGUUCCGAUUUCUGUAACACUGAAACUCCAGAUCAACAUUUAUGUAGCUACCUCCUUCCCUCAACUGAUUGUUUCCUCAGAUGAGCACAAAGUAUGAGCAUUAUUUUUUUCCUUUUCUGAACAGUCAUUGUUGCAACACUGAAGCAAUGUAACUGGGUCAAAUAUUUUAGAUUUUCCAGCCUCUGUGUGUGUAUGUGUGUGUAUCCUGCAUCUCCAGUGAGUAAAGCAUGUGUUUUUGUCUCCUAUAUAACUGAAAAACAAACUAAAAAUGAAACAUCACAGGUGAUCUGUAGAUGUAAUGCAAUACUGUUGGAUGACUCUAAUAUAAAUGUUGACAGAUGUCAGAUUGAUCUGUUCUAGGCUUGGUUUCCCAAAAAGUAGUUGUGGUUUAAAGCAAUCUUUGCUACAGCAGCAGAGACUACAUCCAUUCUUGUAGGUACAAAUCAUAUUUUAAGGUUGGGAAAUAACUCAAAAGGAUUUCAACAGUUCCUUCUUGUUACUAUUUUUAAAGUGCAAAAUCGGUUUAAUUUGCUGAGCAAAUCCAGCUGUGAUUUUGAUACUAAGCUACUUUUUGGGAACCCUCGCCACGAUUCUUGUGGAAUCUGUUUCUUUUAAAUCAGUGUGAACUUCGCAGUAAGAGCGUGUCUACAAGUUCAAGGUGGCAAAGACUCGAGUGGCAACCCAAUAACAGCCACUAGAUGCAAAUGUAAAUGAUAACAGCGUUUUAAAUCGUAUGUUAUUUUACCGUUUGGCAUUCUUGUUUAUUGUCCUAGAUGCAGAGGAAGGGGCAAGACAGGAAAAAUGUAUUAAACAUGUUGGCCAAAGCA